CAACGGCAAGUGACAUCGCUUAAGUGAUAGCAUUAUGAUAAUCAAAUAUUAAAAUGGAUGAAGAGAACAUAUUUUAUGUUCAAUGUAUGGAUUGUGCGAAACAAUUUGUAACUUCAAUGAUAUAUCUACACAUGAGUGUUUGAGAGGAUAUUCUAGUUACUGAUGAAAAUUUAUACUUUUAUCCCUUAUUAGACGAUGGGGAAAUAAUUGUCAGGAGAAGUUUAAGAAGUUCAAAGCUCAAAAAUAACAGCAGCAUUAUUCUUGCAGAGCA